CACACUUUGCUAUUUCCACACUUUGUUCUUUUUCCUGUUUUCUCACACUUUGCUUUUUCCUCUUUUCUCACACUUUGCUAUUUUCACACUUUGUUCUUUUUCCUCUUUUGUCACACUUUGCUAUUUUCACACUUUGUUCUUUUUCCUCACACUUAUCUUUUUUUCCUCUCACACUUAGUCUUUUUUCCUCUGUCCCCUUUUCUCUCACACUUAGUCUUUUUUCCUCUCACACUUAGUCUUUUUUCCUCUGUCCCCUUUUCUCUCACACUUAGUUUUUUUUCCUCUGUCCCCUUUCCUCUCACACUUAGUCUUUUUUCCUCUGUCCCCUUUCCUCUCACACUUAGUCUUUUUUCCUCUGUCCCCUUUUUUCUCACACUUAGUCUUUUUUCCUCUCACACUUAGUCUUUUUUCCUCUGUCCCCUUUUCUCUCACACUUAGUCUUUUUUUCCUCUUCUUUUUUCCUCUCACACUUAGUCUUUUUUUCCUCUAUCCUCUUUUCUCUCACACUUAGUCUUUUUUUCUCUAUCCCCUUUCCUCACACUUUGUUCUUUUUCCUCUUUUUUCACACUUU
ensembl:lncRNA